rnacentral:lncRNA from 1 species
AAAUCACAGUCCUGCUGUCUUCUGUGUUAGAACACAACAAUGCUGCUGGCUCUUUACCCUGCAUGUCUGUCUUCUCCACUCGGUAAGUCUAGAUACCUGUAACGGCAGAACCAUCUCGGUUUUCGUUUCGGCCCUUCUUCCCGAAGCCCACACAUCUCCUCAGCAGUCACAGAGAAGGACAACCACAUUUGAGAAGCUUCCCGCCUACCCUCCUGAUUGCAGCUCCUGUACAGCAGCAGGGUAUCGCCGGUCAGUUACCCAGUUCCAGCCUUGAGAGCAAACUGAAACGCUCCAAUGUGUGCCCAAUCAGACCUGCCAGCUGUACGGAGCAUGGACCUACUAAGGACGCCACUUCAGCCCAAGAGAAAAUGCAGUGUGUGAAAGCGCUUGCUGCGCAAGUCUGAUGACCUACCUGAGUUUGAUCCCUGAAACUCCCUGUGGAAGAGAAUCUGCUCCUCAGAGUCGGGCCUCUGGCCUCUGCGCAUGCGCAGUGGCAUUCUCACCAUGUACUCACACGCACAUCAGAGAGAGAGAGAAAAGUAAAAUGUGAAAUUUUUAAAAUAAAUAUACUUAAACUGAGUGGCCCAUUUAAUAGGAUAGUUAAAAAGCUUAGAUUUAAUCUACCAACAUCCCCUAUAAUUAUCAUUAUCCAUAUUUUAUAGAACAUUAAUAAAUUUGUCUAUAAUCAUAAAACUAGUAAAGAGCCUCUUGAGGUAUAAACCCAGGUAAACCCAGGUUUGCCUAAUUGUAAAACAUGUCACCACGAUGUCUAUUGCCCUAGAAAGAGGAAUACUUGGAGGAGCAAGAGGGGUGGUUUAGACGCCAAAGAGCCCCUGGAAGACAUGGUUACCAUCUCUGUCAGACUCUUAAAGAACUCAUUUCUGCCAUAUUUCCUCAUGUUUUGCAUUAGACUUGUAUACAUAAGCUCAGCAACUUUGUAAAUCCUUCAAGGAUAAGGGUGACUUUCGGUCAGUUCAGCGGUUUGUUUGUUUGUUUGUUUGUUUGUUUUUUGUUUUGUUUUUGUAUUAUCUACCAUAGUGAGCUGCAUAUAGUAGGUGUUUAGUAAAUAUCCUCAAUAAAAUUUAACUUGUUGUA